UCAAGCAUAUCAACUUUCCUGACCUGAAGGAACCCAGCAUUAUAAAUAAUAACCCAAAUCAUUCUGUAAUAAAUAUAUUAUCAACUAACAACUACCAAGUCAUCAAUUUCCCUUUCUGCUUUAAAAUACCCUGCUGAUACAUUGAAAUAAUCCUCAAUCUUGAGUAAUGAUCACAUCAAAAAUAGAAUAGACGAAUUUCUAUUGGUUAGUAUUUUUGAAUUACAUGCUAAAACGUUAUAUAUUUCAAGAUAUGAAUGAGAUUUGGAAUUCAAUUCACUAUAAACACAUCUUAUGAAUAACACAAUAGUCUAUAUAUAAAAUAAAUUCCUCUAUCUCAAAAUCAGUCAUAGCCACAAACAAUUAAAAAUUAAUUUCAAUGGCUACUCCUUAAUUAUUUAAUCAAGAGACAGACACUCUUAAGCAUAUCAAAUGUAUCCCAUCCUAAAUAGAUAAAACAUUUCCGAGCAUUUUUAGAUUGAAAGAGAAAUUAAUGGGA
rnacentral:misc_RNA from 1 species